GAGUUGAGGCGCGUCUCGAGCUCGCCGUCAGCCGCCGCCUCCAUGUGCGAGCAGAGGAUGUGCUGCAGCUGCGUGUACUCCACCUCCGUCAUCUCCACCAGGCUCAGACCUAGAUCCAGACUGGAGUUCCAGCAGGCCCCAAAAGAGAAAGUGUGAGGUGUGGCCUACAAAUAUGUUUCCCUACGAAAACCUGCGGAAAAUGUGUGGAAAUCGAUGUUGAGAGUGCGGGAUCUGGGUGGGAGGAAUAUAAGCUUGCGUAGCUGACCCUAAAUUCAGUGAAAUCCAGAACUUUCCUGGCACACUGGAGAGGACGGCAGAACGCUGGGAUGGAUUUAUCGUGCAAGACCAGCUUGAUGUCCUUAGGGCUUGGAGGUCACCCCUUCACGAGGAUUGCGAAAAACUGCGGCGGGAACUGCUGCCAUGCAGCUGGGCUCCCAAUGCAGUGGGGAUGGUGGCGCUCUGGGCUGGCGGGAGCUAUCCUGCCGGACGUGAUUCCCAGCACAGCCGUGAGCGGCAGCAGAGGCGCAGUCAUCUGACCCACAUAGUUCCUGCGUUGCCUGAUGGGCGCAGCUUCCCUAGAACUGAAAAAAAAGGACAUCCUGCCAAAGGCGUCCCCGUUCUGUGCUGGCAGAAAGGCUGUAGGUCCGAGAGCAGGAGUCCUGCGCUCUGACUGGAAGCCCCAACACAGAGUCCGGGGCCCUCGGCCAAGUUCCAGACUCUGGACAGACCCAGGCCCCUGGAAUGAAGGACAGACUGAGUCUCCGAGAGGAAGGGGCCCUGCUAAAUGCCAAAAACAUGCAGCUAAUCUUCCCACCGCCCCUUCCCAAAGGAAUCUUCCUCUGUUUAUCAGGAGUCUGUGCAACGGGAAUGGGAAAUAAUCAGGCCUUUUAGGAAUUACUAGACCCUGGAGCUGAAAGGACAUUCAUUUCAGGAGGCCCAGAUGCCAGGCAGAGCUGUGGUUUAUGGAGGCGGACGACGGAGUUGGUUCAGGUUUUCCUCUGAGGAGGCCCAGUGAGCCUCCCGGCCUCCUGUGGAACAGACAUACUCAGCCAAUGGCAGGGUCCCCACAUGGUCCCCUGAGCCCUGGAGUGAGGUCGGCUGGGAGCAGCAGAGCAGCCGGAGGAGGAGGAGCAAACCCCAGGCCACAGCGUGCUCCUGGAGGGACCCCGAUUUUGUCAAAAUUUAGAUGCAGAGAGAAAAAGAUUAAGGAAAAUACCAAAUUAACGACAGCAGUGACUGCUGGGUGUGACGUUUUGGGCAGGCUUGGUUCUUCUCCCUUUUGCUAGGUGUCCCACAGGAAGACGGACCCAGCAUGUGGGGACCUGCACCCAGCCAGUCUCGCCCUGGCUCAGCCUGUUCACUGGCGCUGCCCUGCCACUGAGGGCUGAGGUCACUGUCCGUCUGGGCAUGUCUCAUGUGGUCUUUCCUUUUCUCCCCUUCUGGUUAGGCCCCCUGAGCUCAGCCACAGCCACGAUCCCCACUGCCGCCUCCUCCCUGGGACUCGCUGAUGCCUGGUGUGGGGAGGGUGCUGGCUGCUUUGGGUGUUACCCCCCGUUGGAGGCCCCCGUGCCGAGUUCUCGAGUGAGAUGGCUCUUUCCAUUUUCCCCCGACAGCUGCCUCGGCCUCUGUGCUAGAACAGGGAGCUACAGCUCAGUGACCCUGUGGUGCCUUGUGGGCCUGUGGGUGCCAGGGCUCCGGGGCCUGGGCCUUUUCCUGCUUGGUGUGGCUGACCGGGACGCGGCCGACCCCAGGGGCAUACUGGAGCUAGGUCUUCCUCGCCAUGUUUCCACAGUGAGCCCUUUGGCUGCACAGGUCACGGUCUGGAGCUGUUGGAGGAGGCUGCUCAGAGCUGUUGCUGCCCCACCAGACACUUGGCCAAGGGGCCUGCACCGGUCUGCGCGGGAACGUCCCACCGGCGUCUGCUCAUGGCUGGGCUGUGGACCCAUACGCUUGUUCGGAAGCCAAGCUCUGGCCCACAGGCGACCAGAGGAAGCUCGCAGGCCAGGCGCCAGCUCCCCGAGCCUGUCCCUGCAGCCGCGCUGUGUGCAGGCACGUGGGCCACCGCGUCUCCUCCACUGGCACUGCUGGGUCUGGGCCGCCAAGCCCACCUGCCCACCUGCAUCCUCAGCAGCAGCACGCCCCGCAGUCGGCGGGUGCACACUCUGCUGCAGCCUGGAUGGGCUGGGGCCUCGGGGCUCACUCCCCAACCAUGAGACUCCUUCACCGCAGUUGAGGCUGUUGCAGUGGUCUCGGGCUCCCACUCAGCCCCAGGAGAGGGUCUGAAGGGGGUGAGUCCCUCCUCCCGACCUUCCUGCCCAUCGUCUCCAGAGCUGGAUGGUGCUGGGUCCCCACAGGGAGCGAGACAGCUGCCCCGUGACGGAAGGAUGUGGGGACCCGCACCCGGCCGGUCUCACCCUGGGCUCAGCAUGAGUUCAGGGAGGGGUCCAAAGGGCACUCCUGCCCACGCCCAGGCAAACCAGCAACAAGAAACUGGGUGGCCAGGGCGUCCGUGCACGACCCCAAACUUCUCCGCGUUAGAAAAAGGCUGAUGAAGACCCGAGACAGAAACUUCCUGUAGCUGUUUAUUCUACUGCGAGUAACAAAACCUAGGUCGUUCCAUGUUCUCAUGUACAGUGAUAUAAGCCUCCGCAAUAUAAAAUACAAUGUACAGGAAUCUCUAUCAAGUAAACUAAAGAAACACACUUGAUUUUUACAUUUGUGUAUUUAAAUUAGAAAAAUUUGCUUUAUAUGUUAAACAAACAAAACCUUCUCAUCGUACUAGAUGUUGGAACGUGACACCUACUUUAAUGUAAUUUAACCUAUGGACACUUGGCUUUCAACACCAAACAUCUCAAACUGAUACAUUCUCAAUGUUUUCUUAACUUAAAAAAUCUGUGCUAUAAAGUGAAAAAUCUGUAGUGACGUACAAUGGAAUAACAGACUCCAAAGAACAAGUGAAGUUCUUUAAUUUUACAUCUGUAAAAGUUUAUGAAAAUAUAAAAAAUUAUCAAAGUGUAUUUGUACAAAUAAAUUAGCCAGAUUUUUUUACUUCACACUUCAGAAGUACUCGAAAAAUACACGACAAGCAAGAGACUGUUUCACAGUGAACAGCUUCCUGUCUCAUUUGCAGUUCUUGAGCUAGUGAUCACUAGUUCCCGUCUCAGACUUUACACAAGUCUUGUUCCACGUUCAAGGACAAACUUUUACAUGUAUCGUCUGACAAAUACCAGUUUGGGGCCGAGCGUACUUUUCCCGGGAUACAGAAGAACUGCUCAGAAGGCGAAACUGGACCAACAAAACUCCUGAUUAUUCAAAUCAAGGACUCCUCCCUGCCCCCAAAGUACACUUAAUUGGUUUGUUACUUUUUUUAGGCUGGUAAAACUUAACAUUUUUCAAUAAAUUGUUAUUUAAAAUGCAACAAUUAUACUAGGACAGAUGUUGCUUUAAAUCAUGUUUUGGAAAAAAUUGAUAAGGUGAUAUAUAAAAUCUGAGCACGCUAAGAAAUGUGUUUCUGUUUCCCAGUUGAAAAUUGUAAUUCCAAUUUUAUGACAAAAGAAAGAUGCAUUUGUAAGGUUUGUGUUUCUCAAGACUCCAGAUACAAGCUACUAAGACUUCUCCCGUAGCCGCAGGGUGGACGCCUGCAGGUCACGCCCACACCGGCCUCCGGGGCGGCGGCUAAGACCUGUAAAAGCAGCUUUUGGAAACACAAACGGAUGAGAUGUCAGUGAAGGUAUGGCUCUAGGGUCCAACGAAACUCCCUUAAAAUUUACAAUAAAGUUAUUGGAAAAGAUAA